rnacentral:rRNA from 1 species
AACGAACGCUGGCGGCAGGUCUUAGGCAUGCAAGUCGAACGGGUGUAGUAAUACACCAGUGGCGAACGAGUGAGUAACGCGUGGGAAUCUGCCCAUCUCUGGGGAAUAACGUUUGGAAACGAACGCUAAUACCGCAUACGCCCGCAAGGGGAAAGAUUUAUCGGGGAUGGAUGAGCCCGCGUUGGAUUAGGUAGUUGGUGGGGUAACGGCCUACAAAGGCGAUGAUCCAUAGCUGGUCUGAGAGGACGAUCAGCCACGCUGGAACUGGGAUACGGUCCAGACUCAUACGGGAGGCAGCAGCUAAGAAUAUUGAGCAAUGGAGGAAACUCUGACCCAGCCAUGCCGCGUGAAUGAAGAAGGCCUUCGGGUUGUAAAGUGCUUUUAGUCGUGACGAUGAUGACGGUAGCGACAGAAAAAGCACCGGCUAACUUCGUGCCAGCCGCCGCAGUAA